UACGUAGGGCGCGAGCGUUGUCCGGAUCUAUUGGGCGUAAAGAGCUCGUAGGCGGCUCAUUGCGUCAACCGUGAAAACCAGCAGCUCAACUGUUGGCUUGCGGUUGAUACGGGUGGGCUGGAGUUCGGUAGGGGAGACUGGAAUUCCUGGUGUAGCGGUGAAAUGCGCAGAUAUCAGGAGGAACACCGGUGGCGAAGGCGGGUCUCUGGGCCGAUACUGACGCUGAGGAGCGAAAGCGUGGGGAGCGAACAGG
rnacentral:rRNA from 1 species